GGUGAGUAACGCGUGGAGAACCUGCCGUAUACUGGGGGAUAACACUUAGAAAUAGGUGCUAAUACCGCAUAAGCGCACAGCUUCGCAUGAAGCAGUGUGAAAAACUCCGGUGGUAUACGAUGGAUCCGCGUCUGAUUAGCUUGUUGGCGGGGUAAAGGCCCACCAAGGCGACGAUCAGUAGCCGGCCUGAGAGGGUGAACGGCCACAUUGGGACUGAGACACGGCCCAAACUCCUACGGGAGGCAGCAGUGGGGAAUAUUGCACAAUGGGGGAAACCCUGAUGCAGCGACGCCGCGUGAGUGAAGAAGUAUUUCGGUACGUAAAGCUCUAUCAGCAGGGAAGAAAAUGACGGUACCUGACUAAGAAGCCCCGGCUAACUACGUGCCAGCAGCCGCGGUAAUACGUAGGGGGCAAGCGUUAUCCGGAUUUACUGGGUGUAAAGGGAGCGUAGACGGCAGCGCAAGUCUGGAGUGAAAUCCCAUGGCUUAACCAUGGAACUGCUUUGGAAACUGUGCAGCUAGAGUGCAGGAGAGGUAAGCGGAAUUCCUAGUGUAGCGGUGAAAUGCGUAGAUAUUAGGAGGAACACCAGUGGCGAAGGCGGCUUACUGGACUGUAACUGACGUUGAGGCUCGAAAGCGUGGGGAGCAAACAGGAUUAGAUACCCUGGUAGUCCACGCUGUAAACGAUGAUUACUAGGUGUUGGGGGACCAAGGUCCUUCGGUGCCGUCGCAAACGCAUUAAGUAAUCCACCUGGG
rnacentral:rRNA from 1 species